UUAAGCGACUAAGCGUACACGGUGGAUGCCCUGGCAGUCAGAGGCGAUGAAGGGCGUGCUAAUCUGCGAUAAGCGCCGGUAAGGUGAUAUGAACCGUUAUAACCGGCGAUACCCGAAUGGGGAAACCCAGUGUGAUUCGUCACACUAUCAUUAACUGAAUCCAUAGGUUAAUGAGGCGAACCGGGGGAACUGAAACAUCUAAGUACCCCGAGGAAAAGAAAUCAACCGAGAUUCCCCCAGUAGCGGCGAGCGAACGGGGAGGAGCCCAGAGCCUGAAUCAGCAUGUGUGUUAGUGGAAGCGUCUGGAAAGGCGCGCGAUACAGGGUGACAGCCCCGUACACAAAAGCGCAUGUGCUGUGAGCUCGAUGAGUAGGGCGGGACACGUGGUAUCCUGUCUGAAUAUGGGGGGACCAUCCUCCAAGGCUAAAUACUCCUGACUGACCGAUAGUGAACCAGUACCGUGAGGGAAAGGCGAAAAGAACCCCGGCGAGGGGAGUGAAAAAGAACCUGAAACCGUGUACGUACAAGCAGUGGGAGCACCCUUGGGUGUGACUGCGUACCUUUUGUAUAAUGGGUCAGCGACUUAUAUUCUGUAGCAAGGUUAACCGUAUAGGGGAGCCGUAGGGAAACCGAGUCUUAACCGGGCGUUAAGUUGCAGGGUAUAGACCCGAAACCCGGUGAUCUAGCCAUGGGCAGGUUGAAGGUUGGGUAACACUAACUGGAGGACCGAACCGACUAAUGUUGAAAAAUUAGCGGAUGACCUGUGGCUGGGGGUGAAAGGCCAAUCAAACCGGGAGAUAGCUGGUUCUCCCCGAAAGCUAUUUAGGUAGCGCCUCGUGAAUUCAUCUCCGGGGGUAGAGCACUGUUUCGGCUAGGGGGCCAUCCCGGCUUACCAACCCGAUGCAAACUGCGAAUACCGGAGAAUGUUAUCACGGGAGACACACGGCGGGUGCUAACGUCCGUCGUGAAGAGGGAAACAACCCAGACCGCCAGCUAAGGUCCCAAAGUCAUGGUUAAGUGGGAAACGAUGUGGGAAGGCCCAGACAGCCAGGAUGUUGGCUUAGAAGCAGCCAUCAUUUAAAGAAAGCGUAAUAGCUCACUGGUCGAGUCGGCCUGCGCGGAAGAUGUAACGGGGCUAAACCAUGCACCGAAGCUGCGGCAGCGAACGUAUCACUUAAAGCGAUUCAGCGGGUUACGACUGACGGAGCGAAGCGACGUCAAAGCGUAUACAAAGUCGAGUCGGUUUAAGGAUACGUUCGUUGGGUAGGGGAGCGUUCUGUAAGCCUGCGAAGGUGGCCUGUGAGGGUUGCUGGAGGUAUCAGAAGUGCGAAUGCUGACAUAAGUAACGAUAAAGCGGGUGAAAAGCCCGCUCGCCGGAAGACCAAGGGUUCCUGUCCAACGUUAAUCGGGGCAGGGUGAGUCGACCCCUAAGGCGAGGCCGAAAGGCGUAGUCGAUGGGAAACAGGUUAAUAUUCCUGUACUUGGUGUUACUGCGAAGGGGGGACGGAGAAGGCUAUGUUGGCCGGGCGACGGUUGUCCCGGUUUAAGCGUGUAGGUGUGUGUUCCAGGUAAAUCCGGUUCACUUUAACACUGAGGCGUGACGACGAGGCACUACGGUGCUGAAGCAACAAAUGCCCUGCUUCCAGGAAAAGCCUCUAAGCAUCAGGUAACAUCAAAUCGUACCCCAAACCGACACAGGUGGUCAGGUAGAGAAUACCAAGGCGCUUGAGAGAACUCGGGUGAAGGAACUAGGCAAAAUGGUGCCGUAACUUCGGGAGAAGGCACGCUGACACGUAGGUGAAGUGAUUUACUCAUGGAGCUGAAGUCAGUCGAAGAUACCAGCUGGCUGCAACUGUUUAUUAAAAACACAGCACUGUGCAAACACGAAAGUGGACGUAUACGGUGUGACGCCUGCCCGGUGCCGGAAGGUUAAUUGAUGGGGUCAGCGCAAGCGAAGCUCCUGAUCGAAGCCCCGGUAAACGGCGGCCGUAACUAUAACGGUCCUAAGGUAGCGAAAUUCCUUGUCGGGUAAGUUCCGACCUGCACGAAUGGCGUAAUGAUGGCCAGGCUGUCUCCACCCGAGACUCAGUGAAAUUGAACUCGCUGUGAAGAUGCAGUGUACCCGCGGCAAGACGGAAAGACCCCGUGAACCUUUACUAUAGCUUGACACUGAACAUUGAGCCUUGAUGUGUAGGAUAGGUGGGAGGCUUUGAAGCGUGGACGCCAGUCUGCGUGGAGCCGACCUUGAAAUACCACCCUUUAAUGUUUGAUGUUCUAACGUGGACCCGUGAUCCGGGUUGCGGACAGUGUCUGGUGGGUAGUUUGACUGGGGCGGUCUCCUCCUAAAGAGUAACGGAGGAGCACGAAGGUUGGCUAAUCCUGGUCGGACAUCAGGAGGUUAGUGCAAUGGCAUAAGCCAGCUUGACUGCGAGCGUGACGGCGCGAGCAGGUGCGAAAGCAGGUCAUAGUGAUCCGGUGGUUCUGAAUGGAAGGGCCAUCGCUCAACGGAUAAAAGGUACUCCGGGGAUAACAGGCUGAUACCGCCCAAGAGUUCAUAUCGACGGCGGUGUUUGGCACCUCGAUGUCGGCUCAUCACAUCCUGGGGCUGAAGUAGGUCCCAAGGGUAUGGCUGUUCGCCAUUUAAAGUGGUACGCGAGCUGGGUUUAGAACGUCGUGAGACAGUUCGGUCCCUAUCUGCCGUGGGCGCUGGAGAACUGAGGGGGGCUGCUCCUAGUACGAGAGGACCGGAGUGGACGCAUCACUGGUGUUCGGGUUGUCAUGCCAAUGGCACUGCCCGGUAGCUAAAUGCGGAAGAGAUAAGUGCUGAAAGCAUCUAAGCACGAAACUUGCCCCGAGAUGAGUUCUCCCUGAGACUUAGAGUCUCCUGAAGGAACGUUGAAGACGACGACGUUGAUAGGCCGGGUGUGUAAGCGCAGCGAUGCGUUGAGCUAACCGGUACUAAUGAACCGUGAGGCUUAACCUU
rnacentral:rRNA from 1 species